CCUACGGGAGGCAGCAGUGGGGAAUAUUGGACAAUGGGCGAAAGCCUGAUCCAGCAAUGCCGCGUGUGUGAAGAAGGCCUUCGGGUUGUAAAGCACUUUAAGUUGGGAAGAAAAAGCUCUGGCUAAUAUCUAGAGCCUUGACGGUACCAACAGAAUAAGCACCGGCUAACUCUGUGCCAGCAGCCGCGGUAAUACAGAGGGUGCUAGCGUUAAUCGGAUUUACUGGGCGUAAAGCGUGCGUAGGCGGUUUGAUAAGUCGAUUGUGAAAGCCCCGGGCUUAACCUGGGAAUUGCAGUUGAUACUGUCAGACUAGAAAACGGUAGAGGGAGGCGGAACUCCAGGUGUAGCGGUGAAAUGCGUAGAUAUCUGGAAGAACACCGAUGGCGAAGGCAACCUCCUGGGCCUGUUUUGACGCUGAGGCACGAAAGCGUGGGUAGCAAACAGGAUUAGAUACCCUGGUAGUCCACGCCGUAAACGAUGAGAACUUGACGUUGGUUUGCUUAGCAAAUCGGUGUCGUAGCUAACGCGAUAAGUUCUCCGCCUGGGGAGUACGGCCGCAAGGUUGAAACUCGAAAGGAAUUGACGG
rnacentral:rRNA from 1 species